ACGAACGCUGGCGGCGUGCUUAACACAUGCAAGUCGAACGGAAAGGCCUGCUUUCCCUUGUGGAUUGCGGGUGCUCGAGUGGCGAACGGGUGAGUAACACGUGAGUGAUCUGCCCCCAACUUGGGUAUAAGCCUGGGAAACUGGGUCUAAUUCCCGAUAGGACUGCAGGGUGGUGCCUGUGGUGGAAAACGAUUUUCUAGUGGUUGGGGAUGAGCUCGCGGCCUAUCAGCUUGUUGGUGGGGUAAUGGCCUACCAAGGCGGCGACGGGUAGCCGGCCUGAGAGGGUGGACGGCCACAUUGGGACUGAGAUACGGCCCAGACUCCUACGGGAGGCAGCAGUGGGGAAUAUUACACAAUGGGCGGAAGCCUGAUGCAGCGACGCCGCGUGGGGGAUGACGGCCUUCGGGUUGUAAACUCCUUUCGACCGCGAGGAAGCCACCUGGUUGGAAGGGUGGUGACGGUAGUGGUAGAAGAAGCACCGGCUAACUACGUG
rnacentral:rRNA from 1 species